rnacentral:lncRNA from 1 species
CAUGAUUCAAAUUGAAUUUCUUUUGAUUAAUGUAUGGCAGAAAACAAGUGUGGGGGAAGUGAUUCUUGUGUGUGUGUAUGCCAAAAUCAUUCAUAAGGAACGAGUAGAAAAGAAAGAUUCGUGAAAAAUAGAAUGAAAAGAAGAAGAGCUGUGAAGAGAAAAGGAGUUGAAAAAUAUGUGAAAAAGAGUUUUAAAGUGUUGCUUGUUGAAGAAAGGGUCCAAAACAUUGGAUUCGGCCCUAAAUAUUGCUUGAAUCUUCCCUUCGUGUUUAAAAGUUGAUUACUGCAAUCUAAGUGAAUU